rnacentral:rRNA from 1 species
AUUGAACGCUGGCGGCAGGCUUAACACAUGCAAGUCGAGCGGGGGAAGGUAGCUUGCUACCGGACCUAGCGGCGGACGGGUGAGUAAUGCUUAGGAAUCUGCCUAUUAGUGGGGGACAACAUCUCGAAAGGGAUGCUAAUACCGCAUACGUCCUACGGGAGACAGCAGGGGAUCUUCGGACCUUGCGCUAAUAGAUGAGCCUAAGUCGGAUUAGCUAGUUGGUGGGGUAAAGGACUACCAAGGCGACGAUCGGUAGCGGUUCUGAGAGGAUGAUCCGCCACACUGGGACUGAGACACGGCCCAGACUCCUAAGGGAGGCAGCAGUGGGGAAUAUUGGACAAUGGGGGGAACCCUGAUCCAGCCAUGCCGCGUGUGUGAAGAAGGCCUUAUGGUUGUAAAGCACUUUAAGCGAGGAGGAGGCUACUUUAGUUAAUACCUAGAGAUAGUGGACGUUACUCGCAGAAUAAGCACCGGCUAACUCUGUGCCAGCAGCCGCAGUAA